rnacentral:rRNA from 1 species
UGCCAGCAGCCGCGGUAAUACGGAGGGUGCAAGCGUUAAUCGGAAUUACUGGGCGUAAAGCGCUCGUAGGCGGGUUGUUAAGUCGGAUGUGCAAGCCCCGGGCUCAACCUGGGAACUGCAUUCGAUACUGGCAAACUAGAGUAUAGUAGAGGCAAGUGGAAUUCCGGGUGUAGCGGUGACAGGCGUAGAUAUCCGGAGGAACAUCAGUGGCGAAGGCGACUUGCUGGGAGAAUACUGACGCUAAGGAGCGAAAGCUGGGAGAGAAAACAGGAUUAGGUC